rnacentral:rRNA from 1 species
UACGUAGGUGGCAAGCGUUGUCCGGAUUUACUGGGCGUAAAGAGCGCGCAGGCGGUCGUGCAAGUCGCGUGUGAAAGCUCCCGGCUCAACUGGGGAGGGUCACGCGAUACUGCUCGACUUGAAGGCAGGAGAGGGAAGUGGAAUUCCCGGUGUAGUGGUGAAAUGCGUAGAUAUCGGGAGGAACACCAGUGGCGAAGGCGACUUCCUGGCCUGUUCUUGACGCUGAGGCGCGAAAGCUAGGGUAGCAAACGGG